GACGAACGCUGGCGGCGUGCUUAACACAUGCAAGUCGAACGGUGAAGCGCCGUCCUUGUUGGGGGGUGGGGAGGAGAGGCGGAGGGGAGAGUAAGAGGAGAGUAACCUGCACCCUGCGACAGGAUAACCGCAUGAAAGUGAGGCUAAGACGGGAGAUUCUGGGUCUGUCGCAGGGUGGGUCUGGGAAGGAUGUUGGGGCGGGGGGGGAUGGGCUCGCGGCCGAUCAGCUUGUUGGUGGGGUGAAGGCCUACCAAGGCGGUGACGGGUAGCCGGGCUGGGAGGGUGGACGGUCACACUGGGACUGAGGCACGGCCCGGACUCCUACGGGAGGCAGCCGUGGGGAAUAUUGCACACUGGGCGCGAGCCUGAUGCAGCGCCGCCGCGUGCGGGAUGGAGGCCUUCGGGUUGUGAACCUCUUUCGCCAGUGAAGCAGGCCUGCCUCGUUUGUGGGUGGGUUGACGGUAGCUGGAUAAGAAGCGCCGGCUAACUACGUG
rnacentral:rRNA from 1 species